CCAACAAAGGUCUCUUUGUGGGGUUUGGGUGUCUCCCGGAGGGCACAUUUCCCUCCCCGGGCUGGGAGAGGAGCGAGGGUGGUGUGCGGAAUGAAAUCUAUGCCGCCGACAUGCAUUUCCUGCUCUCCGGGUUGCCCAAUCCCACCGCCCGAGGGGACUGACGGGCAGCGCUUUCCCUGGGCCUGGCAGGGGAGUCCAGGAGGGAGCGGGCCGGACCCACCCCAGCAGGCCCUCUGCCCUCGGAAUCCAAGGCCUGACCCACGGCCGCCCGCGUCUGCGUCCUGCCCGUCCUGCCCGUGCAACAGGUCUGGAGGGAACAACGGGCUCUUGUUCAGACACGCUUGUUCGCCGGGAGGUUACUCUGGAAAGACUUCGACAUGAAUGCAGAGGCCAGCAGCUCACGCUGAGGUCUACGUGCAGCCGGAUUUGGGCACGAUGCUCCCCUCCGUGGCACGCCAUCCCCCGUGGCCCUGACCACCCCCUCUGCUGUGGGCUCACCGCCUUCAUGGUGAGGCCUCCGUGGGCAUCAGAGGCAGAAUCCACACUCACCAGUGUGGGAGAUGUAAUGCAGCCCUGGCUGGGUGACGGGGACCACCUCGAAGAGCCUGGUCCCCAAAGAGCCGUCACUGCCCCUGCAGCCUGUGCCCCCUGAUGGGAGACACGCACCUGUGGCUCUUCUUACCCUGGAGGAGGAGCCCCCUGCCUUGGGAACCACACAUGAACCAUCCUCACACCGUACACAGGUUGUGUACCCCAUUAGCAGUAUCUCCGUAGCAUCCCCACUUCCCAGACAGGGAAACUGAGCCCCAAAGGUGCUGACAGAAGCCAGGUGGCCACAGCUCUGAGACCCCCAAUUUGGCAGGUACUCCAGAGCCUGCGGAUUCCUGGAGAGGCAGCUUUGGGGUUCAGACUCAGAGUGACAAAAGCCACUGAAUGGUCUCAAAUUUAAAAGCCUGCCUAUAACACUGUUUUCCCCCAGAGGUUCCCAUCAAACUUUGUCCCUUGUGACACUCAAAACUACCCCACUAAGAUAAGAAAAUAUUCCCACUUUAAAGCAGAGAAACAGACUUGGAACCGUGAAAGAACGGCCAUAAACAGCUGACAACUUAAUUUUUAACAGCCUUUCAGAUGCUCAGGAUUGUGUAUUUUGCCCAAAAAUUUAAGGGAUGGGAAUGCAUGGCCGGGAAAAGGGGGGAGGGGGUGAGUUUUGCAAACCUGAACUGCUCUGAGAUGUAAUGGCUGGAAUUUAAAAGUUACCCCUGGAGUCUAACUACCACACUGUGUGCCUAAAACUAAUACAAAAUAAUAUUAACUGUAAACUAUUGACUAUAAACUGUCAUCUUAAAAAUUCUCUAUUAUAAUUUUUUUUAAAAGCCUAAGUAAAAAUAGGGGGGGGGGGGGGAGUUACCCUUUGAGCGACAGGAAAAAGUUAAUAAAUCUAUGUGUAAUCGGAGUUACCCUGGGGGUGUGCAGGGCAACCACUAAUAAAACACUCCAGUCCCCA